rnacentral:lncRNA from 1 species
UAUGUAGCAUGCAUUUUAUUUCUUAGAUACCAAAAUGUUCCGUCUUUUAUAGUUAAUAUUGUUGAGACUUUGCUUCAGGAGUCUGAGGUUGUUAAUCUCUUUUGAGCACAAGGAAGAGUUUUUGUAUUCUCACAUCUCAUGAAGGUUUAAAUGAGCCUAUCAAGGUGCAGAUCCAGAAAUUCUGUCUCCUCGCUCCUUUAGAAUUGCUGUAGCUCAUGUCCAAAUUCUGUGUCAUUUUUCCUUUUACAGGGUAUCUCAUUAAAAAGCCAGCGCUGAUCUUCAAGUUGGAAGAAGGAAAGGAGCCAUGGAUAUUAGAGGAAGAAUUUCUAUACCAGAACUACCCAGAUUUAUCCUUUGGUGUGGCUGCUACAUUUCUAGGCCCUGUGUUCCUGUCCCCAUUAUCAUACUGGUGGUGCACAUUCCAGAUGGGCCAACCAUAGGACACCACCCUGCUGUCCCACACUGAUGAUGUCACUGCUCUGCACUCUCUGCUUUUUGCCGCUGCGUAUAAACUCAUUGUGAAUUUCAGUGGUUCUAGUGACGUUUUGUGAUACCACACUUUGCCUUAUCCUGUAUUAAAACCAGCAUAAUGGUUUUGCGUUACGUCCGUGUUUAUAUAUGUAGCUUUUGUUAUUUUUUAGCAUCUUAUACUCCGUUCUAUUAAAGCAACUUAAUUCUGUUGAAAGGCAUCUUGUUUCUAAUUUUUCAUUAUGAACAAUACUAUUUUGUACAUUGUGUAUUUAAUACAGAGUAGAGCUGAAUCCUCAACCCACGGUGAGAAAAACAUUUUAGUGACUGUAAAUAUAAACAUUUGUUGAUUCGAUCGGUAUUUAUUAAUCACCAAGUAGAAGGCAUUGUACAACAGUGAAUAAAACAUAAGUUCUACCUUUCCUGAGAUUAAAU